GCACUUUCAUUUUCGAGGACUUCAGAAGCAAAUACUAAGAAAAUCGAUAACGGCGUCGUUUGGAAGGAGCAUACUCUCCGAAUAUAAAAGCCAAUUCGGAAGAACCUUCUCAGCAGAUUUCUAGCACUUGUCUGAUGGCGACUCUAUCAAAUCAGGGAAAAAUCGAUAUAUCUUGUUGGGAUGGAACUAUUUCGCAGCAUGAAUUCCACACAGCCGCGAGUGCUUUUGCUGAGCGAUGGAACAAAUUCAACGCUGCCCUUCCCCAGUGUUCAUGGGUUGCUCGUCCAAAAUCACCUUACCUAUCUUCCACCUCUAAGGAUGAGGGUUACUUAUCAGUAGAAAAUGUCAUUAUGUUCCCAACACCUGCUGCGGAGUCUUGUUACGGAGGAGAUGACAAAGAGGGAGAAGAGGAACUUAGUUGCUCCCGCUCCCAAGAGGAUGACUUCAUUGAUGGUGCCACCAUGCUUGAGGAAUUGGUUCAAGUGUUUCUCAGCUUCAUUGAAGGAACAGUGAGGGAUGUAUCAUUUGUGCUGUUCACAUUCAUUUACUUUAUUGUUUUGUGCACUAAACUUUUCAUUUCAACGUGCUUCUUAUUUACAUAUAGCUUGAGGAAUUGGUUCAAGUGUUUCUCAGCUUCAUUGAAGGAGCAGCGAGGACUGCCACUUCUACAAAAGAUGUAUCAUUUGUGCUGUUCGCAUUCAUUUACUUUAUUGUUUGUGCACUAAAAUUUUCAUUUCAACUCCGUCAGUUGCAAAAUCAUGAUGACGCAAGCCAUCACUAUGACUUCCACGUUGUCUACAAUGCUUCAUAUAGAGUUCCAGUGCUAUACUUCCGUGCCUACUGCAGUGAUGGACGAACACUGGUCUUAGAUGAUGUUGAGAAGAGCAUUCCUGCUAUCUCUGCCAAACUCCUAAUGCUAUCUAAAUGGACAUUUAUUACUCAGGAGGAUCACCCUUACUUGAAUUGUCCAUGGUAUACAUUACAUCCUUGUGGAACCAGCGAGUGGAUGAAGAUGCUCUUUAGCCAUGAACCUGCGGUGGAUGAUGGUGGAGUUGCAGUUGCCAAGUAUCUGGUCUCAUGGUUCUCCGUAGCUGGCCAAGUCUUUGGUCUUAAAAUACCCUUUGAAAUGCUAAGUUCCAUUGGUAAUUAAACGUUAUAUGACUAAUUAUCCUGUAUAGCUAAUCGUACAGUUUGAUCUUCUUAACCAGACUACAUUCCCUUUUGUUACAUUUGUUCCUUUCCAACACAAAGGAAAGGCCCCAAAAUGGAUUUCCGCUGAUUCAAGUUGUUCCAAAAAUGACAUGAAUGCAGUGGUAGUUACAUAGACAUCGUUAUACAAUGAUUACACUUCCCA